AAUUUUUGACCGAGCACCCCCCUUGAAUGAAAAAGUUUUCGGAUCGUAAAACUUUGUUUUUAGGAAAAACCAGGGUGGGAGUAAAAUGUUCAUCCCUUGACGGUUUUUAACCAGAAAGCCACGGCUAAUUACGUGCCAGCAGCCGCGGUAAUACGUAGGUGGCCAGCGUUGUCCGGAUUUAUUGGGCGUAAAGCGAGCGCAGGCGGUUUCUUAAGUUUGAUGUGAAAGCCCCCGGCUCAACCGGGGAGGGUCAUUGGAAACUGGGAGACUUGAGUGCAGAAGAGGAGAGUGGAAUUCCAUGUGUAGCGGUGAAAUGCGUAGAUAUAUGGAGGAACCCCAGUGGCGAAGGCGGCUCUUUGGUCUGUAACUGACGCUGAGGCUCGAAAGCGUGGGGAGCGAACAGGAUUAGAUACCCUGGUAGUUCACGCCGUAAACGAUGAGUGCUAAGUGUUGGAGGGUUUCCGCCCUUCAGUGCUGCAGCAAACGCCUUAAGCACUCCGCCUGGGGAGUACGACCGCAAGGUUGAAACUCAAAGGAAUUGACGGGGGCCCGCACCAGCGGUGGAGCAUGUGGUUUAAUUCGAAGCAACGCGAAGGACCUUACCCGGUCUUGACCUCCUUUGACCCCUCUAGAGAUAGAGCUUUCCCUUCGGGGGCAAAGUGACAGGUGGUGCAUGGUUGUUGUCAGCUUGUGUCGUGAGAUGUUGGGUUAAGUCCCGCAACGAGCGCCACCCUUAUUGUUAGUUGCCAUCAUUUAGUUGGGCCCUCUAGCGAGGCCGCCGGUGACAAACCGGAGGAAGGUGGGGAUGACGUCAAAUCAUCAUGCCCCUUAUGACCUGGGCUACCCCCGUGCUACAAUGGGAAGUACAACGAGUUGCGAAGUCGCGAGGCUUAGCUAAUCUUUUAAAGCUUCUCUCAGUUCGGAUUGUAGGCUGCAACUUGCCUACAUGAAGCCGGGAUCGCUUGUAAUCGCGGAUCAGCCCGCCGCGGUGAAUACGUUCCCGGGCCUUGUACACCCCGCCCGUCACACCACGAGAGUUUGUAACCCCCGAAGUCGGUGAGGUAACCUUUUGGAGCCAGCCGCUAAGGGGAUAGAUGGGA
rnacentral:rRNA from 1 species